rnacentral:rRNA from 1 species
UACGGGGGGGGCAAGCGUUGUUCGGAAUUACUGGGCGUAAAGGGCCCGUAGGCGGCCAACUAAGUCAGACGUGAAAUCCCUCGGCUUAACCGGGGAACUGCGUCUGAUACUGGAUGGCUAGAGUUUGGGAGAGGGAUGCGGAAUUCCAGGUGUAGCGGUGAAAUGCGUAGAUAUCUGGAGGAACACCGGUGGCGAAGGCGGCAUCCUGGACCAACACUGACGCUGAGGAGCGAAAGCCAGGGGAGCAAACGGG